GUAGGUGGCAAGCGUUGUCCGGAAUUAUUGGGCGUAAAGCGCGCGCAGGCGGUUCUUUAAGUCUGAUGUGAAAGCCCACGGGCUCAACCGUGGAGGGUCAUUGGAAACUGGAGAACUUGAGUACAGAAGAGGAAAGCGGAAUUCCACGUGUAGCGGUGAAAUGCGUAGAGAUGUGGAGGAACACCAGUGGCGAAGGCGGCUUUCUGGUCUGUAACUGACGCUGAGGCGCGAAAGCGUGGGGAGCAAACAGGAUUAGAUACCCUGGUAGUCCACGCCGUAAACGAUGAUUGCUAAGUGUUAGGGGGUUUCCGCCCCUUAGUGCUGCAGCUAACGCAUUAAGCACUCCGCCUGGGGAGUACGGCCGCAAGGCUG
rnacentral:rRNA from 1 species